CUGAGUUCUCAUCAGAAACAAAGCUACCAAUAAGAUAGUGGAAUGACUUUAAAGUGCUUUAAGAUAAACUGCCAAUUUAAAAUUCGGAAUCCAGUGAAAAUAUCCUUUAAAAAUGAAGAAAUAAAAACAUUUUCAGACAAAAAAGUGAAUUUGUCUCAAGCAAAAGAAACAUCUACAAGCCAAUCUACUACAAGAAACAUCACAGGAACUCCAGUUAAAGGCACAUGGUAAAAGAUGGAAACCUAAAGCUACACAAUAAAAUAAACUGCUGGAAAUAAUAAGAAGGAAGAACUUCAUUGCAAAGGAAAAUACAGAUUCGGAACGCUUCGCUAGAUGAUGGCUGCUCUAUAACUUGUCCAUCCAGUUUAAAUCCCUGAGGAUAUGAUCAUCACACUGCCCAGUAAAACCACUAUGAAUCUUGUAGCUCAACAUGACUAUACUAAGAAGAGUUCUCAAGCUUUACAAACCCAGUUUAGAAGUAUAUCCUGAGUGGGUCUGGUGGCACACACUUGUAAUCCCAGCAGCUUGGGAGGCUGAGGCAGGAGGAUCACAAGUUCAAAGCCAAUUUAACAACUUAGCAAGACCCUAUAUAAACAACAACAACAACAAAAAACAAACAAACAAACUAAAAAAGACUGGGGAUGUGGCUCUGUAGUUGAGCAUCCUUAGGUUCAAUCCCCAUUACAAUAAAAAUAAGUAUAGCCUGAGAGGCAAGAGGACUAUUGUUUGUACAUGCAGCCCUCAAAUCCCUCACUUAGCCUGUCUCAUUGCCCCUCUAUUCCCAAUCAAUAAGGAGCUUCUGCUCACCAAGCAUUCCACGUCUUAUACCAUCGUCCUGGCUCCCCUGAUUUAGGAUUUGGAACAGUAUGUCAACAAUGUUUCUUGUUUGCCUGAAGUGAAGCCUUAUGAAGUUGACAAUUAGAAAGUCAUGAAUGAGGUCAAUCCCAUUCUAGGAGGGUCACAAAGAGUCCUUGGAAGUACUGAAGGAUAUUAUUCUCCACCAGUCUCAGGGAAGAAGAGAAAGAAACCAUGCUGAGAAUGGAGAAAGCAAAAGCUGUGUCAAAAUCUUG
rnacentral:lncRNA from 1 species